rnacentral:lncRNA from 12 species
AAAUGAAAUAAAAAGGUAUAAAAUUAAAAUGGUAUGAACCAGACAUUUCUGGACUCAAGUCAAAAGCACCAAUGAAGGAAAACAAUGAAGGAAAAAAAAUCAGUAAAGACACCGUAUGACAGUGAGGAGUAUGCACUCAGAAUUGUCAUCCAAAAUGGGCCACUUGUUCAGAUUUAGUCAAAUUCUGGGCUGGCAAAGAGUAGUUCUUGGUUGCAAGUGAGAAAUGUGCUCCAAGGGAGAACAAAGAAUAGCCAAUUUUAAACAAUGCUAACUUAGCUAAGGCUAAUCUAAACCAGAGGAGGGGUGGGGCCACUUGAGGGUGGUUUGGUGCUAAAUUUUCCCUCUGCACUGUGUGCUUUCCUUUAAUGGAUCAAAACAUCAACCACAAACAAACUUUAAAAUCCUGAUUGAGGGUCUUCUGUGAUAGAACACUAUGAAGAACAGCAAGUGAAAGAACAUUCUCCUCCAGGAUCAUGUUUAAAAAAGGCAUUGGAAACAGACAUGGAGGUGAAUAUUGAACCCAUCUAAAACAAUUUGGAAUGGCAGCUAAUUUGCCAAAAAGCGGUUUUGUAACCCGGCAAGAACUGCUAUUGCUUCAAAGGCACUAGACUCCUCCUCACAGAGAGGAUUGGAAAAGAAAAAGAAAAGAAAACUUCACGGAAUCAGGGGAUGUAAUGUAAAUUAUGGUGACCUGCAUAUAAAACCUGGCACCAAAGUUGGCCUUUGGGGAGCAAGUCUAUAUAAAGACGUGUUAAAAUCUGCACCAGAACUCCAUGUUGCAGCUGAUAACUCUGGCAGGAGUGGCUCUGAAGGUGGGUGAGGAUUCCCCUCAGAUUUCAGGAGAUCCUUGGAAUUACUGCUGAAUGGACUUUGUAAAUCUUAAGUUGGUGUCCGUGGAUUUCAAUAAAGUAAGAACAUUUCUCUCCUACCCUCA